rnacentral:rRNA from 1 species
CAGAAACUACAAAGGAAGUUGACGGGGCCCGCACAAGCGGUGGAGUAUGUGGUUUAAUUCGAUGCAACGCGAAGAACCUUACCUGGUCUUGACAUCCCGGAGACCCUUAGGAAACUAGGGGGUGCUUCCAUCUGGAAGAAUCUGGAGACAGGUGCUGCAUGGCUGUCGUCAGCUCGUGUCGUGAGAUGUUGGGUCAAGUCCCGCAACGAGCGCAACCCUUGCCUUUAGUUGCCAGCAGUUCGGCUGGGCACUCUAAAGGGACUGCCGGUGUUAAACCGGAGGAAGGUGGGGAUGACGUCAAGUCCUCAUGGCCUUUAUGACCAGGGCUACACACGUACUACAAUGGCCGAUACAAAGGGCAGCGACACUGCGAGGUGAAGCCAAUCCCGUAAAAUCGGUCUCAGUCCGGACUGGAGUCUGCAACUCGACUCCAUGAAGUUGGAAUCGCUAGUAAUCGUGGAUCAGCAUGCCACGGUGAAUACGUUCCCGGGCCUU